rnacentral:rRNA from 1 species
AUAAACAAGAGUUUGAUCCUGGCUCAGAAUGAACGCUAGCAACGGGCUUAACACAUGCAAGUGAAACAUAGGCAACAAUUAUCUAUAAGGUAUAUAUCUGCUUACGUCGCAAACGGGUGAGUAACACGUGAGAAUCUACCCAACAGCUUGGCAUAAAAAAGGUUGAGAUUUGUUUCUCAGAUUGAUGAGGACACCUCUAUCUUUUCAAUUCCGAAUACAAAAGAAAAGGCAUAGAACCGCUGUUAGAUGAGCUCGCGGAAGAUUAGGUAGUUGGUAAGGUAAGAGCUGUACCAAGCCGUAGAUCUUUAGCUGGUCUGAGAGGACGAUCAGCCACAUUGGGACUGAGACACGGCCCAAACGCUAUUCAGCGGCAGCAGUGAGGAAUCUUGGACAAUGAACGCAAGUUUGAUCCAGCCAUGUUGCAUGGGGGAUGAAGGCUCUUUUGGUUGUAAACCCCUGAUUUAAGGUAAAAUAAUAGUACAAUCUAUAAAGAUAAACACGAACUCCGUGCCAGCAGCCGCGGUAAUACGGGGGGGGCAAGCGUUAUUCGAAAUAACUGGGCGUAAAGGGCAUGUAGGUGGCUUAUAAUCCGCUUUAACUUAAAAAAAGCCUAGUAAAAGAAGACGUUUUGGAUGUAGGCUUGAGUAAGGUAGAAGAGAGUGGAAUUUCUAAAGGAGAGGUUAAAUUUGCAGAUAUUAGAAGGAACGCCAAAAGCGAAGGCAGCUCUCUAGACCUUUACUGACACUGAGCUGCGAAAGCGUGGGGAGCAAAGGAGAUUAGAUACCUCCGUAGUCCACGCCCUCAACGAUGAAGAUUCAUUGUCAGAUCACUAAAAACAAACUGUUUCUCAAUGUGGCCUCAGCUCUGCUGAGAUACUAUUUUUGAGUAAUCAAUUCUUUAGGUUGAUUUGGUGAUCCAGCUAACGCGUUAAAUCUUCCGCCUGAGGAGUACAACCGCAAGGUUAAAACUCAAAGGAAUAGACGGGGGCCCAUACAAGUGGUGGAACAUGUGGUUUAAUUCGAAACAACGCGCAAAACCUUACCAGCCCUUGACAUCAGUUUGAUUUUACACGUAACUGUGUAAAAAUUCAAUUGACAGGCGUUGCAUGGCUGUCGUCAGCUCGUGUCGUGAGAUGUUAGGUUAAGUCCUUUAACGAGCGAAACCCUUCUACUUUGUUGCUAGGAACGUAAGGAACGUUACGUACUCAAAGUAUACUGUCGGUGAUAUACCGAAGGAAGGUGAGGAUUACGUCAAGUCGUCAUGACCCUUAUGGGCUGGGCUACACACGUGUUACAAUGGCGAUCACAAAAGGAAGCAAUGGCGCAAGCCGGAGCGAAUCCCUAAAAGUCGUCUCAGUCCGGAUUGUUCUCUGCAACUCGAGAGCAUGAAGUUGGAAUCACUAGUAAUCGUGGAUCAGCACGCCACGGUGAAAUCGUACCUGGGCCUUGUACUCCCCGCCCGUCACGCUCUGGAAAUUGAAUAAUUAUUAAGAGUUUUACAUUUGAACGGCAAACAAAAGCUUUCUUAGAUAUAAUCUAAUUUGCGUUUUUUUCCCUAUCAACAUGUAAAGCUCCAAGACUUUUUUAGUAACUGGAGCGAAGUCGUAACAAGGUAGCCGUAGGGGAACUUGCGGCUGGAUUGA